UGUGUGUGCAGUAUAUUACAUUU
rnacentral:miRNA from 1 species